UUUAUGAUUAAGCAUCAUUUAUUUCUAAUUAUUUAUUUGAGUAUUAUAUUUUUUAUCUAUUUAAUUAAUUAACGAAUGUAGGUAUUUAUUUACGUAUGUUUUUAUUUUUAUUUGGAAAUGCAAUUUAUGUGGAAAAUUGUUAAGUUGAUUUCAACCAGUCAACACCACUCUGAUUUGCUGAGACCGCACGUCAUCAUAAACUCCACUCUGAUAUGCCGAGGCAAAACACGCUAAACAUUUUUUGGCUGCUGCAGUAGCUCAGCUCAGCUCAGCUCAGCUCAUUCAGUUCAGCUCGCUCAGCUCAGCUCCGCUCCGGACCGGACUCAGCUGCCAAGCUAUAAGAUGGAGUCAUGAAAUGUGACGGGACAGCCACCGAGGACUUCAUACUUCGGAGCAUCUCAAACAUGCACCACAAAGACGUGGAGGACACACCGCUGUCUCUCAGGACCUAGAAUCUUAAUGAAAGUAUAAUGAUGUUAAGGGAAGGUGUAAUGGAAAGGUGUAAUGUAAAGUUGUAAUGGUGUUAAGGGAAGGUGUAGUGGAAAGGUGUGAUAGUGUUGAGGGAAGGUGUAAUGUUAAAGGUGUGAUAGUGUUGAGGGAAGGUGUAAUAGUGUUGAGGGAAGGGGUAAUGUUAAAGGUGUAAUAGUGUUAAGGGAAGGUAUAAUAUUGUUAAGGGAAGGUGUAAUGUAAAGGUGUAAUAGUGUUAAGGGAAGGUAUAAUAUUGUUAAGGGAAGGUGUAAUGUAAAGGUGUAAUAGUGUUGAGGGAAGGUAUAAUAUUGUUAAGGGAAGGUGUAAUGUUAAAGGUGUAAUAGUUUUGAGGGAAGGUGUAAUAGUGUUGAGGGAAGGUGUAAUGUUAAAGGUGUAAUAGUGUUGAGGGAAGGUAUAAUAUUGUUAAGGGAAGGUGUAAUGUAAAGCUGUAAUAGUUUUAAGGGAAGGUAAAUGUUUAGUGAAAUUGUUAUGGUGUGAAUCUAAGGUGUAUGUUAUGUUGAUGUAAAAUAAAGGCAUUAACCCCAAA